rnacentral:rRNA from 1 species
CGCCAGACUCCUACGGGAGGCAGCAGUGGGGGAUAUUGGACAAUGGGGGAAACCCUGAUCCAGCGACGCCGCGUGAGUGAAGAAGUAUUUCGGUAUGUAAAGCUCUGUCAGCAGGGAAGAAAGAAAUGACGGUACCUGACCAAGAAGCCCCGGCUAACUACGUGCCAGCAGCCGCGGUAAUACGUAGGGGGCAAGCGUUAUCCGGAUUUACUGGGUGUAAAGGGAGCGUAGACGGCAGCACAAGUCUGGAGUGAAAUCCCGGGGCUUAACCCCGGAACUGCUUUGGAAACUGUGCGGCUGGAGUGCAGGAGGGGUAAGCGGAAUUCCUAGUGUAGCGGUGAAAUGCGUAGAUAUUAGGAGGAACACCGGUGGCGAAGGCGGCUUACUGGACUGUAACUGACGUUGAGGCUCGAAAGCGUGGGGAGCAAACAGGAUUAGAUACCCUGGUAU